GAGAGAGUUCAAAGGAGAGGCCAGGUGGCAGUGAUCAGGCUGAUCACAGCAAUCAACACAAAAAGCAGAUUGAACUGUUGAACCCGGUUUCGCGCCACUUCUCCGCAGUUUGAGCGGCGCGCUGCUCUCCUGCUUCAGUGACUCACGAAACGCCACAGAGGGAACGACAGCCUCCUGACAUGACAGCUCUUCUUGAGAGAGAAUCAUGUCAGCCCACAGACAACCUGUUGACCUGUGAGUCUUCAAGCAGUAAUGAUGACUACGCCUGCCUUAAGUUCCAGUUUCCUGAACAUCAUGUCGGCAUGAGAUUCUGUCCCCACCUGUCUUCAGUCUGGACCCAAUGAUUCGGACACCAGUCUUGUCGAGGCUAAAUUGAGAUCAAGCAUUGACGGGAAAACACCCAAAGUCCAUCACUCAUGCACCGAGGAUCUGGCUGAUUACUGGAAAUUAGGAAGAUUGUUCUUUAUCUGCACUGUCACUUCUGGUAAAUAUUUAUGGACCUUUUGCGGUAUGUUUUGCUUUGACUUAUCAACUGAUGGUGAAUAAUUGGUUGAUUUUGAAAAUGUACAUUAAAUAAAAUGUUUUAAAAUCAA